UACGUAGGGUGCAAGCGUUUGUCCGGAAUUAUUGGGCGUAAAGAGCUCGUAGGUGGCCUGUCGCGUCGGCUGUGAAAACUCGGGGCUCAACUCCGAGCUUGCAGUCGAUACGGGCAGGCUAGAGUUCGGCAGGGGAGACUGGAAUUCCUGGUGUAGCGGUGAAAUGCGCAGAUAUCAGGAAGAACACCCGUGGCGAAGGCGGCUCUCUGGGACGGUACUGACGCUGAGACGCGAAAGCGUGGGGAGCGAACAGG
rnacentral:rRNA from 1 species